rnacentral:rRNA from 1 species
GUCCACGCCGUAAACGAUGGGCACUAGGUGUGGGAGGUGUCGACUCCUCCUGUGCCGAAGCUAACGCAUUAAGUGCCCCGCCUGGGGAGUACGGCCGCAAGGCUAAAACUCAAAGGAAUUGACGGGGACCCGCACAAGCAGCGGAGCAUGUGGUUCAAUUCGACGCAACGCGAAGAACCUUACCUGGGCUUGACAUGUGAGUGACCGCCGUGGAAAACACGGUUUCCCUUCGGGGCACUUUCACAGGUGGUGCAUGGCUGUCGU